UGUACCAUUUUUUUACCCACAAUGAUAGAUUAGUUUUAUUGUGUUGUUAGCUGCUUAUAACAUGUCUCCCCAUUGUGCCAACAAUAGAGUUCGUAAGAUCUGCUUUACCUCAUUAUUUGUUCAUUUGAUAGAAAUACUAGUUUGUAAUUCCAAAUUUGCUAUUUAUUAAUGAAACUAAGUCAACAAGAUUAAGAUUUUUCGAUCUAAUUCAAGUACUUGCUAGGC
rnacentral:lncRNA from 1 species